rnacentral:rRNA from 1 species
CAAUAGCGUAUAUUAAAGUUGUUGCAGUUAAAAAGCUCGUAGUUGGAUUUCUGACAGGAGCGACCGGUCACACACUCUGUGUGUGAACUUGCGUUGUCUCUGGCCAUCCUUGGGAAGAUCCUGUUUGGCAUUAAGUUGUCGGGCAGGGGAUACCCAUCGUUUACUGUGAAAAAAUUAGAGUGUUUAAAGCAGGCUUAUGCCGUUGAAUAUAUUAGCAUGGAAUAAUAAGAUAGGACUUCGGAACUAUUUUGUUGGUUUGCGUUACGAAGUAAUGAUUAAUAGGGACAGUUGGGGGUAUUCGUAUUUCGUUGUCAGAGGUGAAAUUCUUGGAUUUCCGAAAGACGAACUACUGCGAAAGCAUUUACCAAGGAUGUUUUCAUUAA